rnacentral:rRNA from 1 species
GUACGUAGCAAUACGUAUUGUAAAGUGGCGCACGGGUGAGUAACACGUGGGUAAUCUGCCCUUGAGUUUGGGAUAACCCCGCGAAAGCGGGGCUAAUACCGAAUAAGACCACGGGGACCAAAGUCCCUGAGGUAAAAGGUGGCCUCUAUUUAUAAGCUACCACUUGAGGAUGAGCCCGCGGCCCAUUAGCUAGUUGGCGGGGUAACGGCCCACCAAGGCAAUGAUGGGUAGCUGGUCUGAGAGGACGAUCAGCCACACUGGAACUGAGACACGGUCCAGACUCCUACGGGAGGCAGCAGUGGGGAAUAUUGCGCAAUGGGCGAAAGCCUGACGCAGCAACGCCGCGUGGGGGAUGAAGGUUCUCGGA